rnacentral:rRNA from 1 species
GGGACGUGUCCCGUUUUGUAUGUACCUUAUGAAUAAGGAUCGGCUAACUCCGUGCCAGCAGCCGCGGUAAUACGGAGGAUCCGAGCGUUAUCCGGAUUUAUUGGGUUUAAAGGGUGCGUAGGCGGCCUUUUAAGUCAGCGGUGAAAGUCUGUGGCUCAACCAUAGAAUUGCCGUUGAAACUGGGGGGCUUGAGUAUGUUUGAGGCAGGCGGAAUGCGUGGUGUAGCGGUGAAAUGCUUAGAUAUCACGCAGAACCCCGAUUGCGAAGGCAGCCUGCCAAGCCAUGACUGACGCUGAUGCACGAAAGCGUGGGGAUCAAACAGGAUUAGAUACCCUGGUAGUCCACGCAGUAAACGAUGAUCACUAGCUGUUUGCGAUACACAGUAAGCGGCACAGCGAAAGCGUUAAGUGAUCCACCUGGGGAGUACGCCGGCAACGGUGAAACUCAAAGGAAUUGACGGGGGCCCGCACAAGCGGAGGAACAUGUGGUUUAAUUCGAUGAUACGCGAGGAACCUUACCCGGGUUUGAACGCAUUCGGACCGAGGUGGAAACACCUUUUCUAGCAAUAGCCGUUUGCGAGGUGCUGCAUGGUUGUCGUCAGCUCGUGCCGUGAGGUGUCGGCUUAAGUGCCAUAACGAGCGCAACCCUUGCCACUAGUUACUAACAGGUGAUGCUGAGGACUCUGGUGGGACUGCCAGCGUAAGCUGCGAGGAAGGCGGGGAUGACGUCAAAUCAGCACGGCCCUUACAUCCGGGGCGACACACGUGUUACAAUGGCGUGGACAAAGGGAAGCCACCUGGCGACAGGGAGCGAAUCCCCAAACCACGUCUCAGUUCGGAUCGGAGUCUGCAACCCGACUCCGUGAAGCUGGAUUCGCUAGUAAUCGCGCAUCAGCCAUGGCGCGGUGAAUACGUUCCCGGGCCUUGUACACACCGCCCGUCAAGCCAUGGGAGCCGGGGGUACCUGAAGUCCGUAACCGCGAGGAUCGGCCUAGGGUAAAACUGGUGACUGGGGCUAAGUCGUAACAAGGUAGCCGUACCGGAAGGUGCGGCUGGAACACCUCCUUUCU